AGUGAACGCUGGCGGCAGGCCUAACACAUGCAAGUCGAGCGGCAGCGGGUCCCCGCGAGGGGAUGCCGGCGAGCGGCGGACGGGUGAGGAACACAUCGGAAUCUGCCUGGUUGUGGGGGAUAACGUAGGGAAACUUACGCUAAUACCGCAUGAGACCCUGAGUCGACGGACUGGGGGUGAAAGUGAGGGACCUUCGGGCCUCACGCGACCAGAUGAGCCGAUGUCGGAUAGCUAGUUGGCGGGGUAACGGCCCGCCAAGGCGACGAUCCGUAGCUGGUCUGAGAGGAUGAUCAGCCACACUGGGACUGAGACACGGCCCAGACUCCUACGGGAGGCAGCAGUGGGGAAUCUUGGACAAUGGGCGCAAGCCUGAUCCAGCCAUGCCGCGUGGGUGAAGAAGGCCU
rnacentral:rRNA from 1 species